AUUGUGGCAGCCAGUUGCGUAACUGGCAUUGUGCCAAUAACUUUACACCCAUUACCUAAUUUAAUUCUCAUAACAGCUCCGUGGGAAUGCUGUCAGUCCUAUUUUACAGAUAAAGGAAACAGGCUCAGAGGAAUUAAGAAGUUACCUCCCUAAGGUCAUACAGUUAGUGUCAGGCUGGAGUCAGAAUAAGAUUUAUCUUGAUUUAGAAUGACUUUCUGCAAUAGAAUCACCCUGGGCACUUGUUAAAAAUAGCAGAUCCAGUAGGCUCGCCAGUCCUGCUUAAUCAGAAGUCCUCAGCACUGUGUUAGGGCACCUGCCUCUGAAACAAGCAAACUGAAGUUUGAGAACACGCUGUUUGACCACUAUGCAAUCCUGCUCCUGAAAGAGUCGGAUCAUGCAUUUAUCUUUCAACCUUCUCACAGCUGCUUUUUAAGCAUCUACUGUACAUCAAGACUUCUUCUGGACACUUGGACAGUGUGUGAUUUCCACUCUUGAUUGCUUCUUGAGUACAAAUGCUGAUGAAUGAAUAAAGAAUAUGUGGUACAUACAUACAAUGGAAUACUACUCAGUCAUACAAAAGAAUGAAAUAAUGCCAUUUUCAGCAACAUGGAUGGGCCUGGAGAUGAUCAUACUAAGUGAAGUAAGUCAGAGAAAGACAAAUAUAUGAUAUCACUUAUAAGUGAAAUCUAAAAAAAUGAUACAAAUGAACUUUUUUACAAAACAGAAAUAGACUCACAGACAUAGAAAGCAAAUUUAUGGCUACUAAAGUGGAGCUGGAAGGAGGGAUAAAUUCAGAAUUUGGGAGUAACAGAUACACACCACUACAUACAAAGCAAAUGACAAACAACAAGGACUUACUACAUAGCAUGGGGAACUGUAGUCAAUAUCUUGUAAUAACCUAUAAUGCAAAAGAAGCUGAAAAGGAAUAGUAUACAUGUAUAACUGUACAUCAGAAACUAAGACCACAUUGUAAAUCAAAUAUACGCCAAUAAAAAUUAAAUUUAAAAAAAGAUAAUUUCUCAGGAUAGGAGGCAUCACAGGAUAUUUGUAGGCUAAUAGCAAUGCUGUUGUGGAAAGAUAAUAUUUGUUAAUAUAGACAAGAGGGGGAGAAUUUCUGGAGCCUAGUCUUUGGGUAGGAAGGAGGGGGUGUGAUGUGGUGCAGACGAGGAGGGCUGACUUUAGAGAGGAGAACCCUCAGUUCAUUGGUGGUGGAGGAGAAAGGCAGGUAUGUGGGCAGGUGCUGGCAGGUGGGUAGAUGCGGUGAUGGGAGCUCGGUGGGGGAAGUCCCUUUUGAUGGUUUCCGUUUUCUCAGCAACAUUGUCAUUGACAUUAAUUUUCUAAAGUGUAGGUCUGCUGACGCGCCUCCAUGGAAUCCAAGCCUUUGCUAGCUUCCUAUUUACGGUAAGGUGCAGAUAUCUGGGCUCCUGGUAACCACGGUCUUACUCUAACUCCUCUGGAGCCCCUGCCCUCAGCCAUUACCUGUGUUGCGCUGUCCUGGGCUGUGUUUCCUGAGCUCACCAAACUGCUUCAUGCCUCCAGAUCUUCACACCUGCUGUUCCCUCCACCUGGAAGGCCCUUCUGCUUUCCACCUGAUGAACCUGUACUCCUCUUUUAAAAUCCAACUGAAAUGCCCGCUCCUUUCUGAAGCAAUCAUUGUGUCUCCCCCCACCCCCGCCCUCUGCUUCAGGCUCUGAGUUCCCCAAGUAGUGCCUGAUCACCAAUUGUCACCAGACAGGUUUGUGCUCAGUUACAUAUUCUCUCAGCACUUUAUUAGGACUGACCUUUGUCUCCUCAUUAGAGGUACGGUAUUUCAGAUCACUCCAACACCAAGCGCAGAGCCUUGUGCGUGAAACAAAACCAACACAGCCAGACCGGGAGACAGAAACAGACAGAAGGGCACAGAACCACCAACUGCCAAAUCUCCCUUGUGGGUUAUUGAAGGUAUUGUUUCUGGUGUGGUCCGUGUGCCCGGGACGGCACAGCUAUUAGAGUCAAGGACGGGACUCCGUGUAUUCGAUGAAGCAAAAAUCAGCAAGAAUGUUUUGAUGUCAGAAACUGGAAGUCCAGCCAGACACUGCUGUGGCCAGUUGCCCAGAGACGGUCACGCUCAUCUCUGUAGGACAGCCAUGGAAACUCUGCAUCCGGGCAGCCAAGAAACAGGAAACCUCUAAUGCUGGGACCAGCCUGCUGCCCGCGCCCUGGAUCUGGGUGUGGCUUGAAGCAGCGAUGCUGUCUGUUUGCAAAUUAACUAGUAGCACUCUCACACUCACUGACAGACGUGACCAUUGUCACAACCCUUUAAAAAUAGGUUUACUGCUUUCUUUGAAAAGUAAAAGUCAUGAAAGUAAUACAGGAUCAUUUUACUUCCCAAAUACAGAAAUGUGUUAAUAGGAGAAGAAAGACACUUAUAAUGCUGCCUCCCAGAAAAAAAAAUCACAGCCAACAUUUUGGUGUUCAUCAUUUUUUCCAAAUUUUUUGUCUGUGUACAAA